GACCUUCUUAGCGAGUCACACUAAAAAACCCCUCCACAUGUUCAACCAAGAAGCUCUCUGAACUCCAUCCUUUGGGGUUCUUAUGGAGGCUUCAUUAUGUAGCUAUGAUUGAUUAAAUCACUGGC